rnacentral:rRNA from 1 species
GAAGAACCUUACCUGGGCUUGACAUAUAGAGGAUCGCUACAGAGAUGUGGUUUCCCUUGUGGCUUCUAUACAGGUGGUGCAUGGUUGUCGUCAGCUCGUGUCGUGAGAUGUUGGGUUAAGUCCCGCAACGAGCGCAACCCUUGUCUUAUGUUGCCAGCACGUUAUGGUGGGGACUCGUGAGAGACUGCCGGGGUCAACUCGG